CUAAAGAGUGUGUUAAAACUCACCUGCCGAAUACUAGGGCCCCGAAAAUGAAUGGCGCAUAUAGUACUACCGAUCUCAGACAUCAGUUCUAUUGAACUGAGAGUAGGGGGAUGUGGACAUUUUUGUGAAGGUGCAAUGUGAGUUGGACUGGAAGAAUGUCUAUUACAGAUCCUAAUUGAAGUAGCGAUUAUCCAGGCUUGUAUCCUGGGGGCUGAUGAGGAGUAGGGUUUCUGGACAACUUAAACAGAUCCAGAGUUAGUCGAUCCUAAUCUCAAUAAUGGGAGAAAGGGAGUACAGUUGAUAUUCUGUAACUGACAACAGUUCGCGGCAACGCAUACUAUUUUUCUCCGCCAAUCUUAUACCGUUGGUAGGGAUCUCUUUCCUACAUGACAGUACUAAUACCCAGGGAAACUGGUCAUCAGGCGAACUGCGGCGUUCUGCUGGCAAAACAUAGCUUCGGUUAUGUCAAUGGCUAUUGGAUUGGUCCAUGAAGCGAAAAAUAGUUUACUGUGUCACUCGUACCGAUAACCGCAUCAGGUCUUCUAGGUAAGUAGCCUAUGGCCAUUGAGGCAUGAUAGUUCAGGGAAUUCGGCCAAUUAGAGCUGUAACUUCGGGAUAAAGCUUGGCUCUGAUGAAAAUCAGAACCGAUUGUUACGCGGAGAGCCCAACUGUUUAAUAAAAACGUAGUGUCGCGCUGUGGUAGUAUAGCCAGUGAACGCGACAUGAAUCCUGCUCAGUGCUGUGUCUGUUAAUAUGGUUCAAGCCAACGAAGCACCGGUAAAUAGCUGGGGUAACUAUGACUCUUAUCAAAGUAGCGAAAUACCUCGUCACUUAAUUAGUGACCUGCAUGAACGGAGCUAUGAGGUUCUCACUGUCCCAAACUGUCUCUCAGCGAACCAACUGUAGUGGGAACGGUCACUAGAUAUCCAGCGGGGAAAGAAGACCCUGUAGAGCUUCACUUUGGUCUAGUCUUGUAUAGUUCCUGCGGGGGUGUAGACUAGGUGGGAGAGCAAUCGAUUCUGAAAACCACUACCCUGUUUGGGAUUAUGCUUACCUAUCACAAGGAAUAGGACUAGAUAGA
rfam:Trichomonas vaginalis G3, whole genome shotgun sequence.